ACCUGAGCCGAAGGCAGACGACGCUUAACGACUGAGCCACCCAGGCGUCCCUCCCAGCUAUGUAGUUUAAAUGAAACUGAAUUCUGCAGUCCACUAGCUCGUUAUCUGAGGAGACUGGUUCAUGCUGCAAUUACCUGGGCUUGACUCCAGGCUGUGAGGGUUAUGCAGCAGAGACUGAAGCCUCUUGUC